AAAGAAUUUUUUAAUGUGAAUCCAGAAGGGAUUUCACAAACUAUGCCUAUGUGUGUUUUAGAGAGUUUGGUGAUAGAGUCUUGUGUUGGACUACUAUAAAUGAGCCAAACGUGUUCGCCAUCGGUGGUUAUGAUUCGGGAACAACCCCACCUCGGCGCUGCUCUCCCCCAUUCUGUCAUUCAACUGGCAACAAAGGGUAAACUCAACAAUAGAGCCCUACUUGGCAGUUCACAAUAUCUUGUUAUCUCAUUCUUCAGCUGCAAGAUUGUACAGAAGAAAGUACAAGGAUUAUGGAACCGUUGGUGCGCGGAGACUACCCGGUUCCCAUGAAGAGAAAUGCAGGCUCAAGAAUUCCAGCCUUCACAAGUCGCGAGUCGGAACAAAUUAAAGGUUCAGCUGACUUCAUAGGUGUGAUUCACUAAUACAAUAUCAAUGUCACAGACAAUCCUGAGGCCUUAAAUAAUAAUCUCAGAGAUUAUAACUUGGACAUGGCUUCAGUGCUUUGCUUUGAUCUGUUUCAAAUGAAGAGAUUGCUGUCACCCCAUGGAAGUUGGUGGAGGAACUGAACAAACUCAAGCUUCUCU